rnacentral:rRNA from 1 species
UUUCGGUUAAAUCUAUAUGCUCAACAUAUAGGCUGCCGGGAAUACUACAAAGCUAGGGAGUGGGAGAGGUAGACGGUACUCCGUAGGAAGGGGUAAAAUCCUUUGAUCUAUGGAUGACCACCUGUGGCGAAGGCGGUCUACCAGAACACGUCCGACGGUGAGGGAUGAAAGCUGGGGGAGCAAACCGGAUUAGAUACCCGGGUAGUCCCAGCUGUAAACUAUGCAAACUCAGUGAUGCAUUGGCUUGUGGCCAGUGCAGUGCCGCAGGGAAGCCGUUAAGUUUGCCGCCUGGGAAGUACGUACGCAAGUAUGAAACUUAAAGGAAUUGGCGGGGGAGCACCACAAGGGGUGAAGCCUGCGGUUCAAUUGGAGUCAACGCCAGAAAUCUUACCCGGAGAGACAGCAGGAUGAAGGUCAAGCUGAAGACUUUACCAGACAAGCUGAGAAGUGGUGCAUGGCCGUCGCCAGCUCGUGCCGUGAGAUGUCCUGUUAAGUCAGGUAACGAGCGAGAUCCUUGCCUCUAGUUGCCACCAUUACUCUCAGGAGCAGUGGGGCGAAUUAGCGGGACUGCCGUAGUUAAUACGGAGGAAGGAGAGGGCCACGGCAGGUCAGUAUGCCCUGAAACUCUGGGGCCACACGCGGGCUGCAAUGGUAGUGACAAUGGGUUCCGAAUCCGAAAGGAGGAGGUAAUCCUCAAACGCUACCACAGUUAUGACUGAGGGCUGCAACUCGCCCUCACGAAUAUGGAAUCCCUAGUAACUGCGUGUCAUUA